GUAAUAUUAGACUUUCAAUGAUUCAGAAGUUUCUCUACAGUUUCGUUAUUUUUUUUCCAGUCAUUGAUGUUAGCAUGUACUACACAAAGAAAAACAGUUUCCAUAUUAGAUGCCAUAGCAAAUCAAAGAUCAUAUAAUAAAAUAAGUCAAAAAAUCCAAAUAUGGAAAAAGAAAGAGCUGAAGAAAUGGUGAUUAGAGCACCUAUGCUUUCUCAUAGGUGUUUUUGGAGGUUUCCAUAUUAGAUCAUAUCAAAGAUCAUAUAAUAAAAUAAGUCAAAAAACCCAAAUGGGAAAAGAAAGAGCUGAAGAAAUGGUGAUUUGAGCACCUAUGAUUUCUCAUAGGUGUUU